CCUACGGGAGGCAGCAGUGAGGAAUCUUGGACAAUGGGGGAAACCCUGAUCCAGCGACGCCGCGUGAGUGAUGAAGCCUUUCGGGGUGUAAAGCUCUUUCAGCGGGGACAAUCAUGAUGGUACCCGCACAAGCAGCUGCGGCUAACUACGUGCCAGCAGCCGCGGUAAUACGUAGGCAGCAAGCGUUGUUCGGAAUUACUGGGCGUAAAGCGAGUGUAGGCGGUCUGCCAAGUCUGUUGUGAAAUCUCCCGGCUCAACUGGGAGGGUGCGUCGGAAACUGGCAGGCUCGAGUGCGAGAGGGGAGAGUGGAAUUCCUGGUGUAGCGGUGGAAUGCGUAGAUAUCAGGAGGAACACCGGUGGUGAAGACGGCUCUCUGGAUCGCCACUGACGCUGAGACUCGAAAGCGUGGGGAGCAAACAGGAUUAGAUACCCUGGUAGUCCACGCCCUAAACGAUGCAUACUUGGUGUGGGCUCUUCACUGAGUCCGUGCCGGAGCUAACGCGUUAAGUAUGCCGCCUGGGGAGUACUGUCGCAAGGCUGAAACUCAAAGGAAUUGACGG
rnacentral:rRNA from 1 species